rnacentral:rRNA from 1 species
GGCUCAGGAUGAACGCUGGCGGCGUGCCUAAUACAUGCAAGUCGAGCGAAUGGAUUAAGAGCUUGCUCUUAUGAAGUUAGCGGCGGACGGGUGAGUAACACGUGGGUAACCUGCCCAUAAGACUGGGAUAACUCCGGGAAACCGGGGCUAAUACCGGAUAACAUUUUGAACUGCAUGGUUCGAAAUUGAAAGGCGGCUUCGGCUGUCACUUAUGGAUGGACCCGCGUCGCAUUAGCUAGUUGGUGAGGUAACGGCUCACCAAGGCAACGAUGCGUAGCCGACCUGAGAGGGUGAUCGGCCACACUGGGACUGAGACACGGCCCAGACUCCUACGGGAGGCAGCAGUAGGGAAUCUUCCGCAAUGGACGAAAGUCUGACGGAGCAACGCCGCGUGAGUGAUGAAGGCUUUCGGGUCGUAAAACUCUGUUGUU